rnacentral:rRNA from 1 species
CCUACGGGGGGCAGCAGUCGCGAAAACUUCACAAUGGGGGCAACCCCGAUGAGGGAAUUCCUAGUGCUAGCACUUUUUGUGUUAGCUUUUCUUCAGCUUAGAAAACUGAUGGAAUAAGGGCUGGGUAAGACGGGUGCCAGCCGCCGCGGUAAUACCUGCAGCCCAAGUGGUGGUCGAUUUUAUUGAGUCUAAAACGUUCGUAGCCGGUUUGAUAAAUCCUUGGGUAAAUCGAGAAGCUUAACUUUUCGAAUUCCGGGGAGACUGUCAAACUUGGGACCGGGAGAGGCUAGAGGUACUUCUGGGGUAGGGGUAAAAUCCUGUAAUCCUAGAAGGACCACCGGUGGCGAAGGCGUCUUGCUAGAACGGAUCCGACGGUGAGGGACGAAGCCCUGGGGCGCAAACGGGAUUAGAUACCCACGUAGUCC